rnacentral:lncRNA from 1 species
UAUUAGUACUAUACAUUUAGAGAAGAUUAAAAAAAGAAUAAGAAGAAGAUACGAUGGAUCUGUAGUGCCAGGGAGGGGAAUUGCAAUUUUAAAUAGGAUGGUCAGUGCAGGCCUCCUUCAGAAAGUGAGCAAUGUGAAGGAGUUAGCUAUAUGGAUCUCUUAGGGCAUUCACCAGGCAGAUAAAAAAACUAGUACAGAGGUCAUAAGAAGGGAAUGUGCCUGGAUAUUCACAGAACAGUAAAAAGGCCAGUGUGGCUGAGGCAGCGUGAGUUGGGGUAGAAGAAUAGGAUAAUGAGGUCAUAGAGGUACCAGUAGAACCAGCUCUUGUCAGGCUCUCCCUGGAGUACUGUGGGUUACCACUGGAGGGGUUUGAGCAGAGCCAUGGCAUAUACUGAUUGGAAGCAGAAAAACUGCCAGGAAAAUGUCACAGCCACCCCUUACUGAACAGCAGAAACACCAGCAAAACACCAACUGCAACAUGGUGUAUUUUGAAGGUGAGAUUAAAUUUACCUACACCUAGAGAAAUAAUUGGAGCACAUGUCUAUUUGGGCCAAGAGGAUAAAGGCCAGUAGAGGAAUCAGAUCAAAGAACUUCCUCAGGGAAGUGUGCAGAGAACUGGAGUGGACCUUCCCCUAGGAAGCUGCCCAAAACGAGAGUGCUGGAAAGCUGGCCGCAGUGAGGCACUUCAGAUCCCAAGGGUAUGCUGGGGAAGCUGCCACAGGUGGGAGCACUUGCUGCUGGACCCUAGGCACUGUUGAAACAACUGCACCAUCUGCAGGAGCCCAGCAAGCCAAAGCCAGGCAUCCCAUCUGGAGAGAGAGAAGACUGAAGCAGAAACACAAUGGGAAGGAAGCAAAGAUGGAGAGAUGAGUUUUUGGAUUCAACUGAAGCCCUUGCUAUCUGCUAGAGUCAGAGUCAUCACAAUUGGGGGGUCUUCAUUAAGCUACACUUUUUAAUGGAACAUCCUAGUGAGGUUUGAGAGUACAGCUUUAUGGUCUAUAUUACAUUACUAAGCCGAUUUUAUUGGAAAGAACUUGUUUGCAUCCCUGCUAGACAAAAACCUACAAGUUAACCUUUGCCCGUAUGGAGUUGUAAAACAGACCAGUUGAUAGAAAGAGAAGCCUGCUUCCCGAAGCCCUCAGCAGAAGCCGAGCAGAUGUUGGCACCAUGCUUCUUGUACAGCCUGCAGAACUUGAAGAAACACUCCAUAUUAGUUUUCUGGAGCCAUCGUUAUGAAGCAACACAGACUGGGUGGCAUAAACAAUGGAGAUUUAUUUUUUCACAAUUCCGGAGGCUAGAAGUUUGAGAUCAAGGUGUUGGAAAGUGUCUCAGGAUGAUACAUACCGGUUUUUAACUUUGGUGUCAUCAAAUGCAAUUGCAAUGUGACUGUUUCUUGAAAGCCCGAAC